rnacentral:rRNA from 1 species
GACAGAGGGUGCAAACGUUGCUCGGAAUCACUGGGCGUAAAGGGCGUGUAGGCGGGAAGGAAAGUCAGAUGUGAAAUCCCCAGGCUCAACCUGGGAACUGCAUUUGAAACUCCCUUUCUUGAGUACCGGAGAGGAAAGUGGAAUUCCUGGUGUAGAGGUGAAAUUCGUAGAUAUUCGGAAGAACACCAGUGGCGAAGGCGACUCACUGGACACGUAUUGACGCUGAGGUGCGAAAGCGUGGGGAGCAAACAGG